rnacentral:rRNA from 1 species
AUGUCUUUUCUGAUGCAGGCUACCAAACACAGUCUCAGCUCAGCAUGCAUCGAUACAUAUAUUGCUACCAAACAGCUGCAGUUGCAUGUACUCAACAUGUCUAGACUAAGCAUGUAUCAAAGGAGAACAACUAUGCUAGGGUGCGAAUAUCUACCAAACACAACCUUGGAGACCAGGAGCAUGCAUGCAUCCAUCCAUGCAUCGCGUGCCCAUCCAGGGGCCAUCUACAUCCGCUCCAGCAUGCGAUCACGGGAGGGCCAACUCACACCGAGCGUUGCACGCGUCUGCAUGGGCUACUUCACCGAAUGA